AUUUUAUGGUUGGUGUGCGUUUGCUUAUUUAAAAUUUUGUUCUGUUUUGUUUUAAAAUUUUAUAGAAUUAGAACAAAAUUAAAUGUAUACAGUAUAUAAUUAUGAGAAAGGUUUCAUUUUUUUCUAUCAGGUAUAAAUUCUCUGAUAUUUUGUGCUUGCUGCCAUGUUUAGAACAUAAGAUGAAUGAAAUUCUCAAUAAAAUGUUAUGUUUGUCUUUAUUUGCUGAAAAAAGAUUAAAAGUAAUCCCUGACUUGCAUAGGAAGAUUAUUCUGCAAAAUCCUAUCCAAAUCAAAUCUACGUAUGUCAGAGCAUAUAGAAUACUAGUGGGACACGAAAGAUUUGACAUUAAAGAUAGUUAUAGUUAUAUUAAAAAAUAAGCACAUAACUGCAUAAUAAAGCAGUUGCUUACCAUCUUGAAAGAUUUGAUUUUAUUCUGAAUCUCACACACAUUUUUUAAGAAGGUGUCAAAUUCAGGCCUGACUUCAUAACUGAAAUUAACAUACAUAAAUACAGCUCUAUAUAAGUCUGGGAUUGCCUGUAUUUUGUAAUCUCUUUUACUUAUUUACCAUUUAAAAUAAAUAUGAAAAGGAAUACAACAGAAUUUGAUUUUAAGAAAUAUAAAUUUUUAAACUAUAUACAGUAUAUUAUCUUGGUUAAUCUUAUGGAUAUAUUAAUCUGCC
rnacentral:lncRNA from 1 species